ensembl:lncRNA
GGUCGUGCGUGGGGGGAGAGGACGCGCCCCUCGCGCGAGGGCGCCCUCGGCCCUGGGUCCGCGCGCUCGUGUGCACCAGGACCCCCGCCCUGGGGACCGCGGCGACCCUCCCCCGCGCUUUCCCAGGACCCAACCCCACCUCCGGGGACCCCCCGCCCCGCCCUGGCCCUGGAGACGUCCGCGGGGUCCCGGGCCGGACCGCCGCUCCCCAGAACCCGCGCAGCCUCCUCAUUGAACCGCGAUUCCAGGAUCUCCGCUGAGCGCCAGAGCCUGCUGGCUCCAUCCCAGGCCCCGCGAUGGUGGAGGGAGGCGGUGACCCCUAUGAGUGGCCUCGGGGAGGCGUCGUGCAGGCCCGCGUGCCCUCAGAUCCGGACGGGGCAGGGCCGAUCCCUGCCGGGCAGGGGCCAGCAGGACAAGAGCAGGGCCGCAGCUGCCGUCUUAUGGUGACAUCUUGCACCCACGGAGGUUGGGCCCUGGGCCUUGCCCAGCUAUCAUCACACUGAUGUUCCCAGCUGUGGAGUCCAGCAACUCUGCCCACUGGGCGGCGCCCCCACCCCACCCCGCCCAGUCCCUACCCGAGCCUCCUCCCUCAGCUGACCACCAGCCUCUUGAGGCCAAGCAGAGGCUGCUGCCCUAGGCCCUGCGGUUUCCUCCCCUCCCGGAGGGUCUCCUCCCCACACACCCACCCCUGGAGCCUCUCCUUCCUCCUGCCCUGUGACAGGCAGAGUCCCCAAAGCUCGCCCUGCGCAGGACAGAGUGAGGGUCCACACGGAGGUCCUGGAGCCCACUGUAUUCAACGUGUCACAGGUCGCAAUGUGGCUUCCGGUCCUCCUCUGCCUCACGCCUGUGAAGACUGCAGGAGCCGCAUGUGCUCAGGGCGUCCACCCACUCUUCUGUAAGAAGAAAACCUGAGCCACUGGCCAGGCUCCUUAGUGUCUGUGUUUGUUUUGGAAUCAAAUACAAUUCCCCACUCUUG